rnacentral:lncRNA from 13 species
CCGGGUAGGAGCAGUGGCAUGUUCAGACAACUUGGAGAACUUCAGCACCGAUAUCACAUUCUCUGCCACUGCAUGUGGCUUUGUCCUCUUCAGUGGAGAAACUUCUGCGGCGUCUAUCACUUCUGAGCAAGGCAUGUUUACAAAGUUUGUGGAAUCUCCAAAUACUAUGUUGAAUGAGCACCGGCGGAUGAAAGAGGGGGAGGAAAAUAGACAACUUCCUUCUACCACACCUUCACCAAGUCAUACAAUGUUUGCUUCAUGAACAAUUGUUACAUCAGAAAUAAAUACAAAAUUAUUUUAGUUUAUUCUGUUUCUGUUUUUUUUGUUAUGCUGGAUGUGAGUAAUUUAGCAGGUCCAUAGUAUAAUGUAUUGUUUUGAAACUUUUAUUUAAAUAUAUAUUCAGUCAAAACUCACUUUUUGCUAAAGUAAUGUGUUUUCUACUGUUACUUUUUACAUACUGAUACAGUCUCAUUAGUUUUGAGCUAGACUAUGAUUGGGUAAUGUCUACUGUAAAUGUCUACUAUCCUUUUUUAAAUGUUUAUGAUUGAAAUUAGCACAGUUUUUUAAUAGUUUGUUUCUACUGUCUGGUGAGGAAGUGGGCAAUAUGGAUACAUUGGAGGAGGAAGGGAGAGUUAAUGACAAAUCAGAACUUGGACAAUGUCAGGGAAUAAAUAGGUAAAUAUCCAGCCUAUCAAUGACAAAAUAAACAGCUUCAGAGGUAGCUGUCAUGUCUUUGGCAUCAUUAAAGUUAACUGUUAUUUUAUCAAAUCAAUUCUCUGUAAUUAUUAUUACGUGAUUAAACGAAUCAUGUAAAUGUAAUUAACUAGGAAGUCGGGGCACCAAGGAAAAUCUUCAGAUUACAAAGUUAUAAUUUUCCUAAUUUAACUCUUCAGAUAUUAUUAUAUCUGAUCAAUUAGUCUUCUAAUGAAUUAUUCUUUGCCUCACGUUAGUCUCAUUCCAAACGUCGUAAAUUGUUGGUUAUCUGCACGAACCCAGAUUUUACUAUGAAUCAUCCAUACACCAAUUGUCUUAAUAAUUUAUUUACUAACUAACUAAAUAAUCACAGAAAUACAUAAACAAACAAGGUGAUAUGGUUACAAGGAAAUGAUAGGGGAGGUUCCCUUGUGGGCUAAGCCGAUAUGAUGGCUUGGUGGACAAAGGGAAGUGGGUGUGGACUGAGAAGGGGGCGAAAGACAAAAGAGACACUACGCAGUUGAUAAUUGAAAUGCUAAUCCUUUGCACAUGAACGCUCACUCAUUCGGGAAUAAUUGGGAUCAAUUAUAUAUUUACGCCUAGUGUGUUGUCGUGAUCUCUGUUGGAAUCGUCAGUCCUUCUGUUGGAAUGUUCAUCAGAGCAUCUCCGCUUCCCUGAAGUAUUUUGCGGUUAGAAUGGAUACUUCAGAGUACCAUUCAGAAAUGUUCUUAUAGUAUAGAUGUUUCGGCGGUUGUCGGUCUCCGCAUCUCAGGUUGACAUAAUUUCUAGCUGCAGACUAAUAAUUUGUAUCUAAGAUUUGCUCUUAUUCUGUCGUGAUCGAUAGACUCAGAGUUGAACCAUUUCCUGACGUGUAGCCAAUGCUCUACGUGGUAUGGUUAGGAAUUCAACAACCAUUACAACCUUAGCUUAGACUGAGGUUUCUGUGGUCUCUACUCAAACCUUUG